rnacentral:rRNA from 1 species
UACGGGGGGGGCAAGCGUUGUUCGGAAUUACUGGGCGUAAAGGGCUCGUAGGCGGCCAACUAAGUCAUACGUGAAAUCCCUCAGCUUAACUGGGGAACUGCGUGUGAUACUGGAUGGCUUGGAUUUGGGAGAGGGAUGCGGAAUUCCAGGUGUAGCGGUGAAAUGCGUAGAUAUCUGGAGGAACACCGGUGGCGAAGGCGGCGUCCUGGACCAACACUGACACUGAUGAGCGAAAGCCAGGGGAGCAAACGGG